UUUAACAUACAGAAGCGUCUGCAUGCCAAAGCGCAGGGCUUUACCUCUGGUUGUUUUUGAAGCCCUAGGCGAAAGAAGGAUGGAAUCCGAGAAGUGAAAUAUUCCUGUAUAUACUAUACCAGGAUCUGCAUGCUUAAAAGACUUAGUCUGAAAAUCGAGGCGAUGCAAAAGGAAGAAGAUAUCGAAAAUCUUUUGUAGUUCCCGAGUCGGGUCUCAGCUCUACCUCCUGUCCAAGAGUACAAAUACCUAAUGAGGUCGGAGUUCAUUUCUUCUGCCUAUUGCAUACCUUCCAAUCUUUCCUCUACAAUGGAUUCAGGAUAUGAGAAAUCGUAUAUGCCAACUCCCUGACUGCCCGGAAUAAUCAGUCAACCACAAGGGCAUUGAACAUCUCGAAGGAGUAUAGUGCAGAGUCUAUGUCAGAUGAGCUAUCUGGGCGCUGAAGAGCAACUGCAAAGAGAGGUUGCUGGUUCAAACCACAGACUUUUGUCUAGUUAAGGCUAUUUAGAGGUUAGUUCAAGUGUUUUUUCACCUUCUGCUAUUUACAAUACACAUUUUUUCCU